AUUGAACGCUGGCGGCAGGCCUAACACAUGCAAGUCGAACGGUAACAGGAAACAGCUUGCUGUUUCGCUGACGAGUGGCGGACGGGUGAGUAAUGUCUGGGAAACUGCCUGAUGGAGGGGGAUAACUACUGGAAACGGUAGCUAAUACCGCAUAACGUCGCAAGACCGAAGAGGGGGACCUUCGGGCCUCUUGCCAUCGGAUGUGCCCAGAUGGGAUUAGCUAGUAGGUGGGGUAACGGCUCACCUAGGCGACGAUCCCUAGCUGGUCUGAGAGGAUGACCAGCCACACUGGAACUGAGACACGGUCCAGACUCCUACGGGAGGCAGCAGUGGGGAAUAUUGCACAAUGGGCGCAAGCCUGAUGCAGCCAUGCCGCGUGUAUGAAGAAGGCCUUCGGGUUGUAAAGUACUUUCAGCGGGGAGGAAGGGAGUAAAGUUAAUACCUUUACUCAUUGACGUUACCCGCAGAAGAAGCACCGGCUAACUCCGUG
rnacentral:rRNA from 1 species